rnacentral:lncRNA from 13 species
UGCACAACUGAAUUUCAGGAAUUUUAAAAUGUGUCAUGAGCACACACAAGACACUGAAUUUGAAAAAAAUUUCUUAGCAGCCAGCCAAAUGACCUCUGGAGUUACAUGGGGACUCCACUGAGAGAAGCUCUGUAUGCGGCCCUGUACCAAUGCAGUAAGCAAAUACUUCUGUUCUCUUCAAUGGACUAAUUACCAUGAGAAAAAAAAAAGGCAGAGAAGAAAAUUCAAACCCAGGAAAAAUGACCCAAAGAGACAUCUAGCUAGGCUAUGCUAUGCCCAGAAAAACUCAGCCAAGAGCAGCUCCUGUGGAUAUGGAAACAAAGUCGCUGCACCACCCAGAGGGAUGGCUGGGCUAAGUAGACAGGAAGCACGUGGCUGCAAAAGCGAUGAGCUCUUGGUGCCGUCUCUUCCUGCUCCAGGGUUUCAUGUAUCUGUGACUCUAAGCCUGGUGUGUGGACCGGCAAACAGUCAAACAAGGCUGAGAGGCUGCCAGUCCAGCUCAGGCCACACAGGGUGAGCCAUGCACCACCCAGGAAUUUCCAGGGCACGUGCCACUUAAGGGGCACACCCAACUGAGCCCAAUGGGGUUCCCCACUGGGCCUCCCACUGAGGUGCUCAGCCUGGGCCGGAAAAGGGUGAGUCACCCUGGGGGUGGGGUUCUCCAGGGUAGAGGCCAAAGGAGUGAUUACCAUGACAAAUUUCCAAGGGCCUAUGGCAGUGGUGGACAGACCCGAGGCCCUCCCAGCAGAACUUUGGUUCCAAUCCCUCUCCACCCAGCCCAGGAGUCUCCUGGCUCCAGAAACAGGAGCAGGAGGCGCCAAAAAAAGAGAGGGGGGAAAAGAAUUCCUUUUCCAGUCAUUUCAGUCCUAACUUCUCCCUGAAGCUGCCAGAAAAGAUGCCAAUGAAAGACCAAUUGUGUAGCCAGAGUGUUUUCUUCGGACAUGGCCCAGGGAACUGGAGGAUACCUAGUCCAGAAGCGAGGUCACUAGCCCCAUCCUACGGCAACACCUUUUGCUCGCUACUGACCCCUACUGGAGAAGCAGCUGAAAGAAACUAAACCCGAACAAGUCUACUGUGUUCUUAAAUCCAACAUUUGCUGUUGGAGGAUCAGUCCUCCCUAAACCUUAGGCCACAGAUGCAAAGGAUCGAACCUUGGGAAUUCCCUUUCCUCCAAGGGGACCCAAAACCUUUCACACUGGAGUUCUCUUUUGCUCAACUCUCCCUAACGUUGUGUCCUGUGGGAAAUCAGGAGCCUUUAAAGCCACCUUGUCCAACCUACCUCCCGUGGGUCACCUGUGGCCCAAGAUGCUUUGAAUGCGGCCCAACACAAAUUCAUAAACUUUCUUAAAACAUUAUGAGAUUUUUUUUUUGCAAUUUUUUUUCUCAUCAACUGUCAUUAGUGUUAGCGUAUUUUAUGUGUGGUCCAAGACAAGUUUUCUUCCAAUGUGGCCCGGGAAAGCCAAAAACUGGACACCCCUGCUUUGAGGAGAAUGAAAUGAACAUAUAGCUACAUGUUA